rnacentral:rRNA from 1 species
UGGCCAAGUUUUUAAGGGCGCACGGUGGAUGCCUUGGCACCAGGAACCGAUGAAGGACGUGGGAGGCCACGAUAGGCCCCGGGGAGUCGUCAACCAGGCUUUGAUCCGGGGGUGUCCGAAUGGGGAAACCCGGCAGUCGUCAUGGGCUGUCACCCAUACCUGAACACAUAGGGUAUGUGGAGGGAACGCGGGGAAGUGAAACAUCUCAGUACCCGCAGGAAGAGAAAACAACCGUGAUUCCGGGAGUAGUGGCGAGCGAAACCGGAUGAGGCUAAACCGUAUGCGUGUGAGACCCGGCAGGGGUUGCGUAUACGGGGUUGUGGGAGUGUGCUUGAUCGGUCUGCCGACCGGUCGGAGAGUCAGAAACCGUUGAUGUAGGCGAAGGACAUGCGAAAGGUCCGGCGUAGAGGGUAAGACCCCCGUAGUCGAAACAUCAGCGGCUCUCUUGCGUAUUUCCCAAGUAGCACGGGGCCCGAGAAAUCCCGUGUGAAUCUGGCGGGACCACCCGCUAAGCCUAAAUAUUCCCUGGUGACCGAUAGCGGAUAGUACCGUGAGGGAAUGGUGAAAAGUACCCCGGGAGGGGAGUGAAAUAGUACCUGAAACCGUGUGCCUACAAGCCGUGGGAGCGUCGGAAUGUGCUUGCACAUUCUCGUGACUGCGUGCCUUUUGAAGAAUGAGCCUGCGAGUUUGCGGUGUGUUGCGAGGUUAACCCGGGUGGGGUAGCCGUAGCGAAAGCGAGUCCGAAUAGGGCGUUUCAGUAGCACGCUCAAGACCCGAAGCGGAGUGAUCUAGCCAUGGGCAGGUUGAAGCGGAGGUAAGACUUCGUGGAGGACCGAACCCACCAGGGUUGAAAACCUGGGGGAUGACCUGUGGUUAGGGGUGAAAGGCCAAUCAAACUCCGUGAUAGCUGGUUCUCCCCGAAAUGCAUUUAGGUGCAGCGUCGUGUGUUUCUUGCCGGAGGUAGAGCACUGGAUAGGCGAUGGGCCCUACCGGGUUACUGACCUUAGCCAAACUCCGAAUGCCGGUAAGUGAGAGCGCGGCAGUGAGACUGUGGGGGAUAAGCUCCAUGGUCGAGAGGGAAACAGCCCAGAGCAUCGACUAAGGCCCCUAAGCGUACGCUAAGUGGGAAAGGAUGUGGAGUCGCAGAGACAACCAGGAGGUUGGCUUAGAAGCAGCCACCCUUGAAAGAGUGCGUAAUAGCUCACUGGUCUAGUGAUUCCGCGCCGACAAUGUAGCGGGGCUCAAGCGUACCGCCGAAGUCGUGUCAUUGCAGUAAUACUCCCAACGGAGGCUGUGAUGGGUAGGGGAGCGUCGUGUGCCGGGUGAAGCAGCGCCGGAAGGCAGUUGUGGACGGUUCACGAGUGAGAAUGCAGGCAUGAGUAGCGAUUCACACGUGAGAAACGUGUGCGCCGAUUGACUAAGGGUUCCUGGGUCAAGCUGAUCUGCCCAGGGUAAGUCGGGACCUAAGGCGAGGCCGACAGGCGUAGUCGAUGGAUAACCGGUUGAUAUUCCGGUACCCGCUGUGAAGCGUCAAACAUCGAACCAGGCGAUGCUAAGUCCGUGAAGCCGCCCCGGAGCCUUCGGGCAAAGGGGAGUGGUGGAGCCGACGGACCAGACCUGUAGUAGGUGAGUGAUGGGGUGACGCAGGAAGGUAGUCCAGCCCGGGCGGUGGUUGUCCCGGGGUAAGGGUGUAGGCCGGUGUGUAGGCAAAUCCGCACACCUUGUGGCUGAGACCUGAUGCCGAGCCGAUUGUGGUGAAGUGGAUGAUCCUAUGCUGUCGAGAAAAGCCUCUAGCGAGUUUCAUGGCGGCCCGUACCCUAAACCGACUCAGGUGGUCAGGUAGAGAAUACCGAGGCGUUCGGGUGAACUAUGGUUAAGGAACUCGGCAAAAUGCCCCCGUAACUUCGGGAGAAGGGGGGCCACACCUGGUGAUGGGCUUUACGUCUUGAGCUGGGGGUGGCCGCAGAGACCAGCGAGAAGCGACUGUUUACUAAAAACACAGGUCCGUGCGAAGCCGUAAGGCGAUGUAUACGGACUGACGCCUGCCCGGUGCUGGAACGUUAAGGGGACCGGUUAGCUUGGAUUCGUCCAGGCGAAGCUGAGAACUUAAGCGCCAGUAAACGGCGGUGGUAACUAUAACCAUCCUAAGGUAGCGAAAUUCCUUGUCGGGUAAGUUCCGACCUGCACGAAUGGCGUAACGACUUCUCGACUGUCUCAACCAUAGGCCCGGUGAAAUUGCACUACGAGUAAAGAUGCUCGUUUCGCGCAGCAGGACGGAAAGACCCCGGGACCUUUACUACAGUUUGAUAUUGGUGUUCGGUUCGGCUUGUGUAGGAUAGCUGGGAGACUGUGAAGCUUGGACGCCAGUUCAGGUGGAGUCGUCGUUGAAAUACCAGUCUGGUCGUGCUGGAUGUCUAACCUGGGUCCGUGAUCCGGAUCAGGGACAGUGUCUGAUGGGUAGUUUAACUGGGGCGGUUGCCUCCUAAAGGGUAACGGAGGCGCCCAAAGGUUCCCUCAGCCUGGUUGGCAAUCAGGUGUUGAGUGUAAGUGCACAAGGGAGCUUGACUGUGAGACCGACGGGUCGAGCAGGGACGAAAGUCGGGACUAGUGAUCCGGCGGUGGCUUGUGGAAGCGCCGUCGCUCAACGGAUAAAAGGUACCCCGGGGAUAACAGGCUGAUCUUCCCCAAGAGUCCAUAUCGACGGGAUGGUUUGGCACCUCGAUGUCGGCUCGUCGCAUCCUGGGGCUGGAGUCGGUCCCAAGGGUUGGGCUGUUCGCCCAUUAAAGCGGUACGCGAGCUGGGUUUAGAACGUCGUGAGACAGUUCGGUCCCUAUCCGCUGUGCGCGCAGGAGUCUUGAGAAGGGCUGUCCCUAGUACGAGAGGACCGGGACGGACGAACCUCUGGUGUGCCAGUUGUCCUGCCAAGGGCAUGGCUGGUUGGCUACGUUCGGGAGGGAUAACCGCUGAAAGCAUCUAAGCGGGAAGCCUGCUUCGAGAUGAGGACUCCCACCCACUUGAUGGGGUAAGGCUCCCAGUAGACGACUGGGUUGAUAGGCCGGAUCUGGAAGCACCGCAAGGUGUGGAGGUGACCGGUACUAAUAGGCCGAGGGCUUGUCCUC